rnacentral:rRNA from 1 species
CUGAAACCGUGUACGUACAAGCAGUGGGAGCACCCUUUGGGGUGUGACUGCGUACCUUUUGUAUAAUGGGUCAGCGACUUAUAUUCUGUAGCAAGGUUAACCGUAUAGGGGAGCCGGAGGGAAACCGAGUCUUAACCGGGCGUUAAGUUGCAGGGUAUAGACCCGAAACCCGGUGAUCUAGCCAUGGGCAGGUUGAAGGUUGGGUAACACUAACUGGAGGACCGAACCGACUAAUGUUGAAAAAUUAGCGGAUGACCUGUGGCUGGGGGUGAAAGGCCAAUCAAACCGGGAGAUAGCUGGUUCUCCCCGAAAGCUAUUUAGGUAGCGCCUCGUGAAUUCAUCUCCGGGGGUAGAGCACUGUUUCGGCUAGGGGGCCAUCCCGGCUUACCAACCCGAUGCAAACUGCGAAUACCGGAGAAUGUUAUCACGGGAGACACACGGCGGGUGCUAACGUCCGUCGUGAAGAGGGAAACAACCCAGACCGCCAGCUAAGGUCCCAAAGUCAUGGUUAAGUGGGAAACGAUGUGGGAAGGCCCAGACAGCCAGGAUGUUGGCUUAGAAGCAGCCAUCAUUUAAAGAAAGCGUAAUAGCUCACUGGUCGAGUCGGCCUGCGCGGAAGAUGUAACGGGGCUAAACCAUG